CUUGUGCACCAAGGCUGAGGUUCAUUCACAUUCGAAUCACUGGGCGUGAGGACACGCUCAUAAGAGGCAUCAGUUUUGGUAUUUUCCAUUCAAAUAUGCACGCAUUUUGCAAGGUUUUUACUUUUUUGCUUUUCCUGCCAUGCCUAACGGAAGGAUUGCAACCUGUGCAGAGUCCCCUCAGACUGGUGACAGCAAAGGACAAGUUGGCGACAAUUAACUGCAACGAGCGUGAAAGCACUCCUCAAUCCAUGUUCUGGUACCGGCAAUCGGCUGGCCAGGGCCUCACGUUGAUCGGGUACAUUCAGUACGGAGGAGCAAUCCACUACGAGGAGAAGGAUCAGAGCCGUUUUGAAAUCACUGGAGAUGGCGAUAGAAACUCUGUUUUGAAGCUCCCCAAAGCCGCACCUGCAGAUUCAGCGAUGUAUUUCUGUGCGACUACUGAUACACAGCGGUGCAGUCUGUAACAACGUCCCGUCAAAAACCCCACCACCCUCUCAAGGAAUGGAGAAAGAUGUUACA